CACACCAGUCCCCUGCGGGUCGCCUUGCGUGGGCAGGGGAAGGUGCCCUGGCCCCCCAGGAGUAAAUCUGUGGUGUCACUAGGUGGGGACCCCCUUGUAGAGCAACAGCCCCCUCAGAUCCCCCCCUCCCCUUUCCAGUGGGGAGCAGUCCCUCUGCAACUGGGAACCCCAGCCCAAAGCCCCGCAGAUCCACAGGCUUCCUGCCCCAUCGCAGGCUUGCCAGGAGGCAGGGCAGAAAGCCCCCACCGUGCCUCAGUUUCCCUAUCUGUAACAUGGAGCAAGAGCCCUGUGGCAUGAGGGCAGAGAUGGCUUAUUCUCUCAGUGCUUCAGUGCCAGGAGAGAGAUCGUGCCAAUUAUUAUUUAUAAAUCCAGCUGGCAUUUCAGACGGGGACACACUGCCCUCGGAGCUAGCAGGCUGCAUCCAGGCUACAUCUCAAGGUCACGGCGUCAAACACAGCCCUCGAAGGGGCUCAGCGGGGUUGUCAGUGGGUCUGGAGUCCUGCUGGCCUGAGCAUCUGCUUCUGGGGAGGGAAAAUCACCCGUUGCCCCAGCACGAGGUGGCAAAGAUCAUCAGGAGCAACGUUUCUGCCGGAGACGUCGCAGAGGCGAGCUUCCUCCUCAGCACCGGCAGCUCUUGCRGCCGCAAGCCCCCUGGCAAGCCGCUCCGGGUCCGAACCUUGCAGAUGAGGCACCCGAUAACAUCCCUGUCUCCAUCUUCUGGUGAGCAGUUUUGAACUCCUUUCUGUUUGCUUUUGCUCCCAGAAGACCGAUGUCCAAAGGUGUCCUGCUCAGCCUGAAAGGAAGCGGCAAAACCGUGGGGCUCAGCAUCUCGGAGGCAUUGUGUCCUUCAAAGGCGACGAACAAACAGCCGUGCUCCUUUCCAGCCCCGUCAGGGAUCCUGAGGAAAUGCUGCAGUCAACACAUUUGGGCGCCGCUUCCUCCUCGCACUGAGAGCCUGUUUAAACACUUACUAAUGUAAAGAAGCUUUUUGCUGCCGUAAGGCAAUGUCUGUAUUUCCAGCGGGCAUCCUGGUUAAACACUGUGGACUUCUUAGAGUCACAGCCAGUCUCCGAAUGAAAAGGUACCUUGUUUGAAAAACAGAGGGUCUUUUUCUUCCACGGCCACCUAAAAUAUUGCACGUCACUGUUGAUGUUUUCAUUUUGAGAAUGAUGAGGUAAAAACCACACUCUGCGUGGGCUAGGGGCGUUUUCUUUGGUUGAGAGUUUUAUUUUCUUAAUCGUCUGUCUCCUGCAUGAAGCUCGCAGGUGAAAAUGCUGAGGCUUUUAAAAAGAUGUGCCUCAGACCACGACAAAUAUUUUCCUGGAGAGCCAGCACACACACAAAGUGUUUGUGGAAGAGGAGUGCUGCUUUCCCUCCUGCCCUGGAGACAGCGAGUCCAUCGCAGACCCUUCCUGCCCCAGCUCCCCAUGGCCCCCAGGGCUCAGCCUCCACAAGUUGGCCCUGUGGCCUGAGCUGGAGCGAAGCUCACCCGUCAGCCUCAUCUCCCCAAAGGCAAGACCCGCGCUGGCCGUGGGUUAGCAAUGCCAUUGCAGGGAGCAGGAGGGUGUUGCAGGGCUUGCCUUGAAGCCCUGCUCCCAGAGGAAAGCCUUCAUGCCCUGGAUGGGUCUUCCUCAUCUGGCACUAGUCAGCAGGCAGCAAGGCCAGGCAUAACGCCGUCUCUUCUCUGAAUCGUGCCUUCGCAGGGCUGUGGUCGUCCCUGGUAGUGGUGACUGU
rnacentral:lncRNA from 1 species